GCUGAUGGCUGCUGCAUUUAUAGCCUAAGUGAUCAAGUGACUGCCUGUUAAGCCCAAAUCAAUGCACAAGUGUUUAUUUAUUUGAUGCAGAUGAAGAAUUUCAGGAAAGAUUUGAGAGACUUUAAAAAUCUGGCUUUGGGAAUUCAUCUUCUCCAUCUCUUUUGAUCUAAACCAGUGUAACUUGCUUUACAAUCAGUUUUCAGUGGAACCACAGAUGAGGGGUAGAUAUUGCAACUUUGAGAAAUUCCAUACGAAAGGCCAUGCACAAGAAACUUCCUUGUGUUUCUGUCAAGCAGUAAGGGAUGGAAAAGGCAAUGUUCAGCCCACUACAUCUUGGAAAAAAAUGGAUGAAAUUUCACAGGAUUGAAGAAAUUUUUCCAGUUUUUUUCUCUGCUGAAUUUCAAACAUUUCAUGCAUUGAUCCAGGCAAGAUUGUCAGUUCCAUCUUCCUCACAAAGAAACAGGAAAGAUUGGGAUGAUGAACUGGUGCCAUAUGCAAGAGUAGCAGUGUUCCCUUCUGCUGGAAAGAGACCUUCCCCAUCCAUGUGGGCAAAAGGCUCACUUAAAAGAGGCUUUGCUGUCCUGGCUGUAAAGCUGUUGUCCUGGUUUGUGAAGAUGGUAUCAAAGCCCUCUUGA
ensembl:lncRNA